rnacentral:piRNA from 1 species
UACGAGGUCAUUUCCAACCUGUGGGCCCUU